rnacentral:tRNA from 1 species
GGGCGAUUAGCUCAGUGGUUAGAGCGCGACACUGAUAAUGUCGAGGUCGGAGGUUCAAGUCCUCCAUCGCCCA